UAAGACAGAGGGGGCAAGCGUUGCUCGGAAUUACUGGGCGUAAAGGGCGCGUAGGCGGAAUGGCAAGUCGGUCGUGAAAUCCUUCGGCUCAACCGAAGAACGUCGAUCGAAACUGCCGUUCUUGAGGAUUGCAGAGGAGACUGGAAUUCCCGGUGUAGCGGUGAAAUGUGUAGAGAUCGGGAGGAACACCGGUGGC
rnacentral:rRNA from 1 species